rnacentral:rRNA from 1 species
UACAGAGGGUGCAAGCGUUGUUCGGAAUUAUUGGGCGUAAAGGGCGCGUAGGCGGUGCGGUAAGUCUGCGGUGAAAUCUCCCGGCUCAACUGGGAGGCUGCCGUGGAAACUGCCGUGCUUGAGUGUGGGAGAGGUGAGUGGAAUUCCCGGUGUAGCGGUGAAAUGCGUAGAUAUCGGGGGGAACACCUGUGGCGAAAGCGGCUCACUGGACCACAACUGACGCUGAGGCGCGAAAGCUAGGGGAGCAAACAGG